ACCAAUCUUCUUCUUGCUUCUCAA
rnacentral:siRNA from 1 species